UCUCCUGGAAAACGGGUGGUAAUGCCGGAUGCUCCAGUUGACCGCAUGGUCCUCUGGGAAAGCUUUUGCGGUAUGGGAUGGGGUCGCGUCCUAUCAGCUUGAUGGCGGGGUAACGGCCCACCAUGGCUUCGACGGGUAGCCGGCCUGAGAGGGCGACCGGCCACAUUGGGACUGAGAUACGGCCCAGACUCCUACGGGAGGCAGCAGUGGGGAAUAUUGCACAAUGGGCGCAAGCCUGAUGCAGCGACGCCGCGUGCGGGAUGACGGCCUUCGGGUUGUAAACCGCUUUUGACUGGGAGCAAGCCCUUCGGGGUGAGUGUACCUUUCGAAUAAGCACCGGCUAACUACGUGCCAGCAGCCGCGGUAAUACGUAGGGUGCAAGCGUUAUCCGGAAUUAUUGGGCGUAAAGGGCUCGUAGGCGGUUCGUCGCGUCCGGUGUGAAAGUCCAUCGCUUAACGGUGGAUCCGCGCCGGGUACGGGCGGGCUUGAGUGCGGUAGGGGAGACUGGAAUUCCCGGUGUAACGGUGGAAUGUGUAGAUAUCGGAAAAAGAACACCA
rnacentral:rRNA from 1 species